rnacentral:rRNA from 1 species
GACGAACGCUGGCGGCGUGCUUAACACAUGCAAGUCGAACGGAAAGGCCCUGCUUUUGUGGGGUGCUCGAGUGGCGAACGGGUGAGUAACACGUGAGUAACCUGCCCUUGACUUUGGGAUAACUUCAGGAAACUGGGGCUAAUACCGGAUAGGAGCUCCUGCUGCAUGGUGGGGGUUGGAAAGUUUCGGCGGUUGGGGAUGGACUCGCGGCUUAUCAGCUUGUUGGUGGGGUAGUGGCUUACCAAGGCUUUGACGGGUAGCCGGCCUGAGAGGGUGACCGGCCACAUUGGCACUGAGAUACGGCCCAGACUCCUACGGGACGCAGCAGUGAGGAAUAUUGCACAAUGGACGGAAGCCUUAUGCAGCAACGCCGCGUGCGGGAUGACGGCCUUCGGGUUGUAAACCGCUUUCGCCUGUGACGAAGCGUGAGUGACGGUAAUGGGUAAAGAAGCACCGGCUAACUACGUG